rnacentral:snRNA from 12 species
ACACUCAUGUUUCUCUUCAUAUCGUACAAAUCUUUCGCCUUUUACUAAAGAUUUCCGUGGAGAGGGGCACAAUGAGUAUAAAUCAAAUUUUUUUGAUGCCCUGCUUAAAUGUGGGGCU